UGGGGGAAUUUUGGACAAUGGGCGAAAGCCUGAUCCAGCAAUGCCGCGUGUGUGAAGAAGGCCUUCGGGUUGUAAAGCACUUUUGUCCGGAAAGAAAUCCUUGGCUCUAAUACAGUCGGGGGAUGACGGUACCGGAAGAAUAAGCACCGGCUAACUACGUGCCAGCAGCCGCGGUAAUACGUAGGGUGCAAGCGUUAAUCGGAAUUACUGGGCGUAAAGCGUGCGCAGGCGGUUUGCUAAGACCGAUGUGAAAUCCCCGGGCUCAACCUGGGAACUGCAUUGGUGACUGGCAGGCUAGAGUAUGGCAGAGGGGGGUAGAAUUCCACGUGUAGCAGUGAAAUGCGUAGAGAUGUGGAGGAAUACCGAUGGCGAAGGCAGCCCCCUGGGCCAAUACUGACGCUCAUGCACGAAAGCGUGGGGAGCAAACAGGAUUAGAUACCCUGGUAGUCCACGUGUAAAACGAUGUCGAUUUUGGAGGUU
rnacentral:rRNA from 1 species